AUUGAACGCUGGCGGCAGGCCUAACACAUGCAAGUCGAGCGGAUGAGAGGAGCUUGCUUCUCGAUUCAGCGGCGGACGGGUGAGUAAUGCCUAGGAAUCUGCCUGGUAGUGGGGGACAACGUUUCGAAAGGAACGCUAAUACCGCAUACGUCCUACGAGAGAAAGCAGGGGACCUUCGGGCCUUGCGCUAUCAGAUGAGCCUAGGUCGGAUUAGCUAGUUGGUGAGGUAAUGGCUCACCAAGGCGACGAUCCGUAACUGGUCGGAGAGGAUGAUCAGUCACACUGGAACUGAGACACGGUCCAGACUCCUACGGGAGGCAGCAGUGGGGAAUAUUGGACAAUGGGCGAAAGCCUGAUCCAGCCAUGCCGCGUGUGUGAAGAAGGUCUUCGGAUUGUAAAGCACUUUAAGUUGGGAGGAAGGGUUGUAGAUUAAUACUCUGCAAUUUUGACGUUACCGACAGAAUAAGCACCGGCUAACUCUGUGCCAGCCGCCGCCGUAA
rnacentral:rRNA from 1 species